GAUGAACGCUGGCGGCAUGCCUAACACAUGCAAGUCGAUCGGUAAGGCUCUUCGGUGUACACGAGAGGCGGACGGCUGAGUAACGCGUAGGAACACACCCUGCAGUGAGGGAUAAGACACCGAAAGGUGUUCUAAUACCGCAUACGGUCUUCGGAUUAAAGCAUUUCUGCGCUGAAGGAGUGGCCUGCGUCAUAUUAGAUAGUUGGUGAGGUAAUGGCUCACCAAGUCGAUGAUGUGUAGCUGGUCUGAGAGGAUGAUCCGCCAGACUGGAACUGAGACACGGUCCAGACUCCUACGGGAGGCAGGAGUGAGGAAUAUUUCACAAUGAGCGAAAGCUUGAUGGAGCAAUGCCGGGUGCAGGAUGAAGGCACUCGGGUUGUAAACUGCUUUUAUAAGAGAAGAUUAUGACGGUAACUUAUGAAUAAGGGACGGCUAACUACGUG
rnacentral:rRNA from 1 species